GCAUAUCAACGUGUUCUGUAGCGUAAGAUAUAUCUGAAUAUUCCGCAUUUUUUGAGCGGUGAUUUCCUAUUGAUCCGGGUCACAUAAGCGAUAAUGUAAGUAUGUGUAAAUAUCAUCCCGAUCUUUGAUUUGCAGAUACAACAAUUUAGGCAAUUUCGACGGCCAACGCCCUUGACGUCAGACGCUUCUUCUAUCUUUCCCUUAACCAGUGCCUGGGCACGAAUUUAGCCGCCUACGCGUGUCGUCACGUUUUUAACGCUGAUUCAGCGACCUUCUUUUACCUCAUUGUCCGCAAGAGAUCCCAAUCCCGCAGCCUCUAUAAAUUCUCUACUCUUUGCACCAAGCUUAUCGUCAGUGUUGUUGUGUUUUUGCCAACUAUUUCUUGCUCUUCGUAAUUGUAAUUGAAAGUAAUAGAAACUAUAUAAUUGAUAAUAUAACGAUUCCUCUUUUAUCAAUAAUAAACAGAUGUUGAUCAAGGAGUACCGAAUAUGCAUCCCGCUAACCGUUGAAGAAUACCAAAUUGCUCAAUUGUAUAUGAUUCAGAAGAAGAGUCGACAAGAGAGUUCUGGAACUGGAUCUGGAGUUGAGAUACUUAUAAAUCAGCCAUAUAACGAGAGUGGAGGACCAUGCGGGCCUGGUCAAUACACUCAUAAAGUCUAUCACGUUGGCUCCCAUUUGCCAGCUUGGUUUCGUUCGAUUUUACCAAAGUCUGCUCUAAGAGUUGAAGAGGAGGCAUGGAACGCUUACCCAUACACAAAAACAAUCUAUCGUUGUCCCUUCGUCGAGAAAUUCAGUAUUGAGAUUGAAACAAAGUAUUUAAAAGAUAAAGGAGAACAGAAUAACGUAUUUAAUCUAUCAACGUCUGAAUUGCGUAAUAGAACAGUUGGUAAGUUAAUGACGUUUACACUUAAUUAUGUUGAUGAAACAGUUUCUCACCUUGAAAUAUUAUACGCUACUUGUAUAUUGAGAGUAGACAUAGUAAGAUAAACUAAGACAGAGAGUAGAAAGCGUGAUAUGAUUCAAAAAUCAAUUUAUAGAGAUCGGUUCUCUCGUUGAGAGCAUGAUUAUAUUCCUUUAAUUGCUUACUGCGUACACACACGCGUACAACACUAAUAUAUAUAUCGUAGAAAGAGAUCGAUUUUUAAAUAAUGACAAAUAUUUCUUCAUAUUCUCCCUCUCACCCACUCUUCCAAUUACUAUAAAAUCCUAUCCCGUUUUAAUCAUCAACAUAAUUAAGGGAAACACUAAGCGGAUUUCUAUUGAUACGAUUAUUAAUUCACCAAUGAGCAGAUUUUAUCGAUAUCGUUCGAGAUUCGGUCUCUGGAGGAGAGUAUUGUCCAGAGGAAGACCCAAAAUUGUACGUUUCUAAGACGACAGGCCGAGGCCCCCUAUCGGAUAAUUGGAAAAAUGAAUGUGGUGAUCGUAUCAUGUGUGCUUACAAGCUUUGCCGGGUUGAGUUUAAGUAUUGGGGAAUGCAAACAAAAAUUGAGAGGUUUAUUCACGAGGUGGCUCUCAGAAAGACAAUGGUUAGGGCUCAUCGCCAAGUUUGGUGUUGGCAAGAUGAAUAUAAUGGAAUGACUAUGGAUGAUAUAAGAAGAUUGGAAAAGGAAACUCAAUUGGCUCUUGCCGAGAAGAUGGCGUUAGCAAAACAAGCGGAAAAUGGUGGAAUAAAGUCAGAAAAGGAAGCCGAACAAGUGGAAAUAGAAGCUACAUCGUCAAAGGCGGUUUUUGUCGUUAAUGAAGAUGUACAAAAAAGAGAUUCAUGGGCUGACGCAAUUAGCUCGAUAGGAAUGGAGCAUAUUGAAGACGAUAGUUCCGAAGACGAAUUUUACGACGCUCAAGAAGAGGUAACUCGCGAACGUUUGCUCAAAUCCAGUUCUAUGGAAUUUAUCGUCCCCAGCGACGAAACUAAACAAGAUGGAGAGUUAGCUACAUCGUUCGAUAAGAAAUUGGAACGCUAUAAACGAUUACAACAGGAUCCUCCAUUAACAACGGCAUCUGGACCGUCAACAGCUUUAAGUUCUAGUCAGCAACCGUGCAGAACGACUGUAUUAUUUCUGGUAGCUCACGGGGGUAGCGUUGUGGAAAGUGGAUCUGAGCUGAAGUCUACAGAUGUUAAUACGCUGCGAUCAACAAUUGAUGCUGUUUUAGCGUCUCAUUAUCCCGCUAUGGUUGGAAGGCUUGCUGUUCGAUUGGUUCAGUGCCCGCCUAUUUGUAGCGAAGCGUUGGAACUGCUUUCUACACUCUCUCCAACUUUCCAAUUUCCACAAGUCCCAAGAAUUGGCAAUGACGCUGCCAUUUUAGCCGCCAAUCAUAUUCCUGUUAGCUGCGUGCCACUUUUUGCUACGGGGAAACUACAUAGUUAUUCUGAAAGUGUCCUGCAGAUGGUUAAAAAAUGUAAUCAGGUUUAUAAUGAAUUCCUGCAGUCCGAAGAAGGUGUAUCAUUCAGGGGAAGGGUCUGUAUUAUUGGAGAUAGUGUUGGAUCUUUGUUGGUUUACGACGCCCUCAUAAAAAAUAAUCCAUUCCUGUCCAAUAGCCAAUUGAAUGAACUCAGCGAAGAAGAGGAAAUAAUUAGCAAUCCAGAUUUAUGCUCCGAUGAAGAGUUUUAUUCCACUAAACCUGCAUCACCUAGAAGUUCAAAUCGUUAUCCAGCCUCUUGCCCUGUUUCGAGGAGAACAUCGACUGGAAGUUAUGGAGGAGAAAGCGGAAAAUUCAAUUUCGAAGUUUAUGAUUUUUUUAUGUUCGGUGCGCCACUCGGCCUACUUCUUGCCUUUAGACGCCUUUGCAAGACAGAUGAAAGGCAAAAUGUCAUACCAAAACCUAGCUGUCAGCAAAUCUACAAUAUUUUCUACGCAACGGAUCCGUGUGCUUGCCGUUUGGAGCCAUUAAUUAGCGAAAAAUUUCGUUUAAUAUCUCCCAUUAACGUUUCGAGAUUUCAAAAUUUUCCAAGAGGAAAUGGCCAAAGUGUUCACGUUGCCGAAGCCAUACAAAAUCACAUGGGACUGUUCAGCGAAACUGAAAUUAGCGUUUCCGACUUAACAGCUGUAACAGCUAAAUGGUGGGGAACUAAACGCAUUGAUUAUGUUUUAUACUGUCCGGAUGCUCUUAAAGAGAUAAAUCCAUCCGCCUUGCCAUAUUUACUGCAGUCGUCUUUCUGGGAGUCGAUGGACGCUAUUGCAUUCCUUCUCAGGCAACUAUUAAGCCAAACAGACUCGGACUGGAGAAAUCCGAGUGCCAAUCAUUUAUCAGGAAGAUCGUACAAACCUGAGGAACCAACUGAAAAAUGGCUUAAAAGGAGAACUGCGAUCAAGUUGCAUAAUACAGCGCCUAAUCAUAGGGCUAAUGAUGUUCUUAUUGCUGAGGAUAAGAAGCAAUUACUAACAGCAAAGUUUAUGUAUGGUAUCCUCGACGUUGCUUUAUCUAGUGAAAGAGUUGAUAUUCAUGUGCAAAGAUCGCCGCCGGACGGUGAAUGGUGCUUUUUAGAUACGGUUCGCACCGAUUCAAGCGGUAGAGUAACGUACGAGGUUCCAGAAGAUAAGCGUCUCUCGCUUGGUAUUUACCCUGUUGUAAUGACCGUGCGAGGGGACCAUACAACCGCUGAUUUUAGCUUAGCCGUUUUACCACCCAAAACGGAAACGGUUGUUUUUAGUAUAGAUGGUUCAUUUACUGCUAGCGUCUCUAUUAGAGGAAAGGACCCAAAGGUUAGAGCCGGAGCGGUCGACGUUGUACGCAUGUGGCAGGAUCUUGGCUAUCUAAUACUCUACAUUACAGCCAGACCAGAUAUGCAGCAUAGAGUCGUCGUCUCGUGGCUGGCUCAACAUAACUUUCCAUACGGUAUGGUUGCAUUCAUGGAUGGAUUAACGGCCGAGCCGAUGAAACAAAAAACUCAAUACCUGCAGCACUUAGUUAAAAAUGCAAAUAUAAAAAUUCACGCGGCCUACGGGUCAUGCAAAGACAUACAAGUUUAUCAAACUUUGGAGGUUGAACAAUCUCAUACUUUCAUUAUUGGAAAACCGUCCAAAAAGCAUCAAAAGGAGGUUGUUGUUCUUACUGGUGGCUACGCCCAACAUUUGAAUGAUCUUACAACUCAUCCGGGAGCCCGUCCAGCAUCUGGUAAUGCACGUUUGUUUUUGAAAAAGACGUGCUUUAGCCUUCCAGGUCAAACUCAAAAGUCUAAGAAAUCAGUUAGAAAAACAGCGUCGCUACCGUACAGGAGAAACACAACAAGGGAAGCCGAACCGUCGACGCCAACUAUUAAUGUUAAGCAUAUAUGAGAUACAUGAAUAUUUUUCUUUUUGUGCAUAAAGAAUGCAGUUAUAGUAUAGGAAUACAAAGAAUAUGCUAACUUAUAAUUCCCUUCUCGCUUUUCAUUCUCGCCGGAAACAGUCUAUGCACUUAUUCUUUUAAAAGUUCUCCGAUAAAUUAUCGUAUUCCUCAUAUAUCAAAGAUAAUGUGGGCAAGAUACACUGACAUAUUACUAGGUUAUAAACAAAAUACACUUUACGACAAUUAUUUCUUUGCUUAUUCCUCUUUUUAUUUUUUUCAACAACUUAUAUGAUUGUAGAUUAUCUUUCUCAUAGGCCGAAUCACUGUAGGGAUGAAGCAUAAUUCGAUAAAAAGAAAUCAAUUUUUUUUCAGACUAGAGAAGAACUUUUUUAAUCUUUUAUCUCAAAAAUUUGACCUUUAUUUAAAUUUUAUAAAUAUUCA
rnacentral:misc_RNA from 1 species